rnacentral:rRNA from 1 species
GAACCAUCAUGUCUAGUAUAAGCACUUGUACUGUGACCUGCGAAGGGCUCAUUAAAUCAUUUAUCGUUUAUUUGAUAGUACCUUACUACUUGGAUACCUGGGGUAAUUCUAAAGCUAAUACAUGCUAAAAACCCCAACUUCAAGAGGGGGUGUAUUUAUUAUAUAAAAAACCAACCCCCUUCGGGGCUCCUUGGAGAAUCAAAAUAACUUAACAAAUCGCGGGGCCUUGCCCCGGCUAUGGUUCAUUCAAUUUUCUGCCCUAUCAUCUUUCGAUGGUGGGAUAGUGCCCUACCGUGGUGGCAACGGGUAACGGGGAAUUAGGGUUCCAUUCCGGAAAGGGACCCUGAAAAACGGCUACCACCUCCGGGGAAGGCAGCGGGCGCGCAAAUUACCCACUCCCGAUACGGGGAGGUAGUGACAAUAAAUACUGAUACGGGGCUCUUUUGGGUCUCGUAAUUGAAAUGAAAACAAUUUAAAUCCCUUAACGAAAAACAUUUGGAGGGCAACUCUGGUGCCCACACCCGCGGUAUUUCCCUCUCCAAUAGCGUAUAUAAAAGUUGUUGCAUUUAAAAAGCUCGUACUUGAACCUUGGGUCUGGGUGGCCGGCCCCCCUCACCGCGAGUACUGGUCCGGCUGGACCUUUCCUUCUGGAGAACCUCGUGGCCUUCACUGGCUGUGGGGGAAACCAGGACUUUUACUGUGAAAAAAUUAGAGUGUUCAAAGCAGGCCUUUGCUCAAAUACAUUACCAUGAAAUAAUAAAAUAGGACGUGGGGUUCUAUUUUGUUGGUUUCUAGGACCGCCGUAAUGAUUAAUAGGGAUAGUCGGGGGCGUCAGUAUUCAUCUGUCAGAGGUGAAUUUCUUGGAUUUGCUGAAAACUAACUACUGCAAAACAUUCGCCAAGGGAUGUUUUUCUUUAAUCAGGGAAACGAAUGUGGGAGAUCGACGACGAUCAUAUACCGUCGUAGUCAUAAACCAUAAACUAUGCCGACUAGGGCAUCAGGACGGUAUUCUAUAAUGACCUGUUCGGCACCUCACGAAAACAUCAAAGCUUGUGGGCUCCUGGCGGUAU